GACGAACCGAGCGAACGUUGUUCGGAAUCACUGGGCUUAAAGGGCGCGUAGGCGGGCUGCCGCGUCCGGGGUGAAAGCCUCCCGCUCAACGGGAGAACGGCCUCGGAUACGGGCGGCCUGGAGGGGGGUAGGGGCGUGCGGAACUGUGGGUGGAGCGGUGAAAUGCGUUGAUAUCCACAGGAACUCCGGUGGCGAAGGCGGCACGCUGGACCCCCACUGACCGCUGAGGCGCGAAAGCCAGGGGAGCGAACGGG
rnacentral:rRNA from 1 species